rnacentral:rRNA from 1 species
UGGGGAAUAUUGCACAAUGGGGGAAACCCUGAUGCAGCGACGCCGCGUGAGUGAAGAAGUAUUUCGGUAUGUAAAGCUCUAUCAGCAGGGAAGAAGAAGGACGGUACCUGAGUAAGAAGCCCCGGCUAACUACGUGCCAGCAGCCGCGGUAAUACGUAGGGGGCAAGCGUUAUCCGGAUUUACUGGGUGUAAAGGGAGCGUAGACGGCAGCGCAAGUCUGGAGUGAAAUGCCGGGGCCCAACCCCGGAACUGCUUUGGAAACUGUGCAGCUCGAGUGCAGGAGAGGUAAGCGGAAUUCCUAGUGUAGCGGUGAAAUGCGUAGAUAUUAGGAGGAAUACCAGUGGCGAAGGCGGCUUACUGGAUUGUAACUGACGUUGAGGCUCGAAAGCGUGGGGAGCAAACAGG